UGGGGAAUAUUGCACAAUGGGCGAAAGCCUGAUGCAGCAACGCCGCGUGAGUGAUGAAGGCCCUCGGGUUGUAAAGCUCUGUCUUUUGGGACGAUAAUGACGGUACCAAAGGAGGAAGCCACGGCUAACUACGUGCCAGCAGCCGCGGUAAUACGUAGGUGGCAAGCGUUGUCCGGAUUUACUGGGCGUAAAGGAUGCGUAGGCGGAUUUUUAAGUGAGAUGUGAAAACCCUAAGCUUAACUUGGGGACUGCAUUUCAUACUGGAAAUCUAGAGUGCGGGAGAGGAGAAUGGAAUUCCUAGUGUAGCGGUGAAAUGCGUAGAGAUUAGGAAGAACACCAGUGGCGAAGGCGAUUCUCUGGACCGUAACUGACGCUGAGGCAUGAAAGCGUGGGUAGCAAACAGGAUUAGAUACCCUGGUAGUCCACGCCGUAAACGAUGAGUACUAGGUGUAGGAGGUAUCGACCCCUUCUGUGCCGCAGUUAACACAAUAAGUACUCCGCCUGGGAAGUACGAUCGCAAGAUUAAAACUCAAAUG
rnacentral:rRNA from 1 species